AACGAACGCUGGCGGCAUGCCUAACACAUGCAAGUCGAACGAAGGCUUCGGCCUUAGUGGCGCACGGGUGCGUAACGCGUGGGAAUCUGCCCCUCGGUACGGAAUAACAGUUAGAAAUGACUGCUAAUACCGGAUGAUGACUUCGGUCCAAAGAUUUAUCGCCGAGGGAUGAGUCCGCGUAAGAUUAGGUAGUUGGUGGGGUAAAGGCCUACCAAGCCGACGAUCUUUAGCUGGUCUGAGAGGAUGAUCAGCCACACUGGGACUGAGACACGGCCCAGACUCCUACGGGAGGCAGCAGUGGGGAAUAUUGGACAAUGGGCGAAAGCCUGAUCCAGCAAUGCCGCGUGAGUGAUGAAGGCCUUAGGGUUGUAAAGCUCUUUUACCAGGGAUGAUAAUGACAGUACCUGGAGAAUAAGCUCCGGCUAACUCCGUGCCAGCAGCCGCAGUAA
rnacentral:rRNA from 1 species